GUCCAUGCGGCGAAACUGAUAGACGCGCUAGAUUUAGGAUCUAGUGGAGCAAUCUGUUGCGGGUUCGAGUCCCGCCCUGGACA
rnacentral:tRNA from 2 species